AAGUCGUAACAAGGUUUCCGUAGGUGAACCUGCGGAAGGAUCAUUAACACGUAUCCAACGUUAAACAACCCCGUGAACCUUCAGCCUGCUCUCGUAGCCCACGCGGCAACAGCAAUCCCAGUAAAUCAUUGACGACCAGUUUUGAUUCGGGACCUCUGUUACGAUGUCCCCAAGCAGAAUCCAGAGAAUGAAAGGAUCACUGGCUGCGCAAGGAUCUAGAGGUCGAUCACCGACCGGCAGACAUGUCACAGGGUCCCCAUGCCCCUUACCUCACCCCAUUACUAAUGACUAGCUUAGCGGUCUGAGUAAAAAAAAAACCAAACAACUGUUAACAAUGGAUAUCUUGGUUCUC
rnacentral:misc_RNA from 1 species